ACACAGCAAGUAUCGUGACUUUUAAUCAAUUGGUCGCAGGUUCGAGCCGAGCGAAGCGAGACAGCAACGCGUCAGCGUUGACCCCAAGGCUGAGUCAUCCUGCACGACCCACCA
rnacentral:sRNA from 1 species